rnacentral:snRNA from 1 species
AUACCUUAAACUUAUAAGUAAGGAAAAUUAUGACUGGUGUGACACCUGAAAUUCUCACUGCUAAUGCGAAACGAACUUUUGAGCAGGUAAAGGUUUCCCCUAAGGUGACUCACCUACUUUGUGGGAUGCCUGGAUGUAGUGAUCUGCCCA